rnacentral:rRNA from 1 species
UACGUAGGGUGCAAGCGUUGUCCAGAAUCAUUGGGCGUAAAGCGCGUGUAGGCGGCCUUGUAAGUCCGUUCUGAAAGUCCGGGGCUCAACCCCGGGAGGCGGAUGGAUACUGCAAGGCUCGAGUACGGAAGAGGCGAGUGGAAUUCCCGGUGUAGCGGUGAAAUGCGCAGAUAUCGGGAGGAACACCAAUGGCGAAGGCAGCUCGCUGGGACGUUACUGACGCUGCGACGCGAAAGCGUGGGGAGCAAACAGG